rnacentral:rRNA from 1 species
CCUACGGGAGGCAGCAGUGAGGAAUAUUCGUCAAUGGACGAGAGUCUGAACCAGCCAAGUAGCGUGAAGGAUGACUGCCCUAUGGGUUGUAAACUUCUUUUAUAUGGGAAUAAAAUGUUCCACGUGUGGGAUUUUGUAUGUACCAUAUGAAUAAGGAUCGGCUAACUCCGUGCCAGCAGCCGCGGGAAUACGGAGGAUCCGAGCGUUAUCCGGAUUUAUUGGGUUUAAAGGGAGCGUAGGUGGAUUGUUAAGUCAGUUGUGAAAGUGUGCGGCUCAACCGUAAAAUUGCAGUUGAAACUGGCAGUCUUGAGUACAGUAGAGGUGGGCGGAAUUCGUGGUGUAGCGGUGAAAUGCUUAGAGAUCACGAAGAACUCCGAUUGCGAAGGCAGUUCACUGGACUGCAACUGACACUGAGGUUCGAAAGUGUGGGUAUCAAACAGGAUUAGAUACCCUUGUAGUC